UGGGGAAUAUUGCACAAUGGGCGCAAGCCUGAUGCAGCCAUGCCGUGUGUAUGAAGAAGGCCUUCGGGUUGUAAAGUACUUUCAGUCGGGAGGAAGGUGGUAAGGUUAAUAACCUUAUCAAUUGACGUUACCGACAGAAGAAGCACCGGCUAACUCCGUGCCAGCAGCCGCGGUAAUACGGAGGGUGCAAGCGUUAAUCGGAAUUACUGGGCGUAAAGCGCACGCAGGCGGUUGAUUGAGUCAGAUGUGAAAUCCCCGGGCUUAACCCGGGAAUUGCAUCUGAUACUGGUCAGCUAGAGUCUUGUAGAGGGGGGUAGAAUUCCAUGUGUAGCGGUGAAAUGCGUAGAGAUGUGGAGGAAUACCGGUGGCGAAGGCGGCCCCCUGGACAAAGACUGACGCUCAGGUGCGAAAGCGUGGGGAGCAAACAGG
rnacentral:rRNA from 1 species